UAAUACGAAGGGGGCUAGCGUUGCUCGGAAUUACUGGGCGUAAAGGGCGCGUAGGCGGCGCUGCAAGUCAGGCGUGAAAUUCCUGGGCUUAACCUGGGGGCUGCGCUUGAGACUGUGGUGCUAGAGGACGGAAGAGGCUCGUGGAAUUCCCAGUGUAGAGGUGAAAUUCGUAGAUAUUGGGAAGAACACCGGUGGCGAAGGCGGCGAGCUGGUCCGUAUCUGACGCUGAGGCGCGACAGCGUGGGGAGCAAACAGGAUUAGAUACCCUGGUAGUCCACGCCGUAAACGAUGUGCGCUGGAUGUUGGGGCCCUUAGGGCUUCAGUGUCGUAGCCAACGCGGUAAGCGCACCGCCUGGGGAGUACGGCCGCAAGGUUG
rnacentral:rRNA from 1 species